UACGUAGGGUGCGAGCGUUGUCCGGAAUUAUUGGGCGUAAAGAGCUCGUAGGCGGUUUGUCACGUCUGCUGUGAAAUCCCGAGGCUCAACCUCGGGCCUGCAGUGGGUACGGGCAGACUGGAGUGCGGUAGGGGAGAAUGGAAUUCCUGGUGUAGCGGUGGAAUGCGCAGAUAUCAGGAGGAACACCGAUGGCGAAGGCAGUCCUCUGGGCCGUAACUGACGCUGAGGAGCGAAAGCGUGGGGAGCGAACAGG
rnacentral:rRNA from 1 species